GAUGAACGCUAGCGAUAGGCUUAACACAUGCAAGUCGAGGGGCAGCAUGGUCUUAGCUUGCUAAGGCUGAUGGCGACCGGCGCACGGGUGCGUAACGCGUAUGCAACUUGCCUCACAGAGGGGGAUAACCCGUCGAAAGACGGACUAAUACCGCGUACACUCUAUGUUGGGCAUCCAAUGUAGAGGAAAUGAAAUUCGCUGUGAGAUAGGCAUGCGUCCCAUUAGCUAGUUGGUGAGGUAACGGCUCACCAAGGCGACGAUGGGUAGGGGAACUGAGAGGUUGAACCCCCACACUGGUACUGAGACACGGACCAGACUCCUACGGGAGGCAGCAGAGAGGAAUAUUGGUCAAUGGGCGAGAGCCUGAACCAGCCAAGUCGCGUGAAGGAUGACUGUCUUAUGGAUUGUAAACUUCUUUUAGACGGGAAUAACAAGAGUCACGUGUGGCUCCCUGCAUGUACCGUAUGAAUAAGCAUCGGCUAACUCCGUG
rnacentral:rRNA from 1 species